rnacentral:rRNA from 1 species
UACGGAGGGGGCUAGCGUUGUUCGGAAUUACUGGGCGUAAAGCGCGCGCAGGCGGCUUCUUAAGUCCAUCGGUGAAAUGCCGGGGCUCAACCCCGAGUGUGCCGAGGAUACUGGGAGGCUGGAGACGAGUAGAGGCAAGCGGAAUUCCUGGUGUAGCGGUGAAAUGCGCAGAUAUCAGGAGGAACACCGGUGGCGAAGGCGGGUCUCUGGGCCGAUGACUGACGCUGAGGAGCGAAAGCGUGGGGAGCGAACAGG